UCCCUAUUGAGUGCAGUACUACUGUUCUGGAUAUUGGAAAAUAAAAAGAAAUGUUACUUGCUUUUUUCAUAUUGGAAAUUAAAAAUCCAAUGCUGAGUGGUAGCUAUUAAAUACUGAAUAUUUCAAAYGGAUAUCUCAACUGCAGAGCAUAAAGUUUACUUCAGAAUAAAACAUCUGGUUAGGUCAUCUACCUGGUAAGCUGUGUUUAGGUAUAAGUGAACUUACAUAACUAUUAACCUAUGUUUAUUUUAUAUGCAUACAGACACUUGUAUACAUGACACACAAGCAUGAUUUGGCUUGCUUUUUCCUCAUAUAGAUCAGAUAUUCCUCUUUUUGAGCUAAACUUAGGGCUGGGUAAAUGGAAGCACUUUCCUUUUGCCUAAAUGCUCUUAGAAAAAUAACCAAUUUAAUCGAAUGGGCUCCACAUAUUCACAGCCCUCCCUCUCGUGUGCUGGAGCUCAGCCUUGCACAGACAGGAUUACAAAUCCCUAGCUAACCUAGAAGCAGAUCAGCUGCUUAAUCAGAUGUGCAAAGCUCACUAUUGAUCUCAUGCUGCUGGGGGGAAUAAAGUUUUGAUGAUUUAACRCUUUUUGUGGUGUCACUCGUUGCAGGGUUGAGCUCCUCAGAUGAUAACUGCCCGAAGGGUCUCGGCGUUCCUGUGCUCUGGGUGAAGCUGGAAGCCCGGAUUGGUCCUCAGUGUGGAUUUGUCACCGUGGGCAAGAGGAUGGGGACAGAACCAGCUGGAGUGUGCCCAGUGACAGAGCAAGAGGCAGCGGGAACAAACCGAGACCAAAGGGUAGGAGAAAGAGGAUGUGUCUCUGGACAACAACUUCCCCUUCAAACAACAGCUCUGAACUUCUAGCCUGCUUUUUAUCCACCCUAUUUGCUCUUGCUUCAACUGCUUUUUACACAGCUUAGCAUUCCCCAGAGCCUGCUUGUUGGCAGACCCUAGUGCAAAAGGAUUUGGGAACGACAAGGAUAACUAGCCAGAGCCCUCCAAUAAGAGCAGGAAGAAGGAAGAGAGCGAGCGGGCAGCCUGAGUGAUGAGCAUAGAGAUAUCCCCAGAUGUGACUUGUGGCCUCCUGUCGCCGGGAAGGGACACGAGCAGAGAUCAGGUGCCGUGUUGGGAACAAGCUCCGCCAGCCACACAGGGAGCUGCCUUUGGAUCCUGGCCAUUCCGAGGAGUUCCCAUCCAUGAGGAUGCGGCGCUGGAGGCAGGAGGUUGUUUUGGGGCUCCCAGCGGAUAUUUGACAACUCUUCCCAAAUCUGCUGCCAGGAAGGGUCCAGCACGAGGCCACCCCGGAGCAGCGGGGCCUCGGGUGCCCCGGGCACCAGUUUGGGGCCCGCUGGUUUCUGCGCUUGUCUUGAAACACAGACAUCAAAGUGGGGGAAAAAAAUCCAUUUUGAAGAAUCUAAAGUGGAACUUUCAUUUUCCCAUCUGUUCUCUGUUCUGGUAGUUUUGCAAUAUCAACUUUUCAGCAUGAUCCUGAUUUAAAAAAGAAAAAAAAAAAAAGAAAGAAAAAAUAGAGAAAGAGAAAUAUUAGACAUUUCUCCUGGAACAGAAAUCCCAUUUUAACACUCAUCUGUUUCCACUGUUUUUUGUGGGACAUCCCACAUACAUAAAGUUAAAUAGCUAAAGACGCAUUAGUGAAAUCACAGGCAUAAAUUUUGCAAUAGGUUAAAAGUGCCCCAUCAAAACGUGGGUAAUAAAUUCUGGCUAUAAUUAAAUUGUUCGUAACUUUUUCAGGAACAAAAAAACUGMGACUGCAUUUUUUCCGCAAGUGAUUUACAAUGGCUGUAAUUUUUAAGGGGGCUAAAUUCACUUUUCGAUCUAAAACAGCUUAAAAUGCCCCCAUAAACAAGCAGCGAUGCUACGUUGGCCGUAGCUCGCUCUAAUUAAAUAUUUACUGUGCUGGUCUAUCCCCUGGCUGAGCAGGGCCCGGGAAGUGCUGAUGCAGGCGGCUCCAGCCCGGCAUCCGCCCGCGCUCCGUCCCGCGGUCCCUGCCGCCCUUCAUCCCUCCAGCCCUUUCGGAUCCCUGGGGAUUUAUUGCCAAAAACCUCCGAAACGGUGAAAAAGAGGUCUCAGAAGUGCUGCGGUGUGAGAUUUGUCCCUUUUCUGURCCGCGUGCCCUGCCAGCGCCUGGCCGUGGCACUAAGGUGCCCAGCUAGCCCACGUUUGGUGCCAGGGACGUCUCUAUUUGCUGUUCUGCCUUGCAGCUCCGUGGUCUCUUGGUGCAGUUGGACUGAACGGGACAAUAUCUCUUAUCCAAUUUUCUGCCUCCCUCUAGAGGAUUUAUUCUGCAGCCGAGAAUCGACUCCGGAGCGCCGGGAGCAGCGCUCGGUCUCGCCAUCCUCAGAGCCACGUUUCUGGGCAGGUUGCACCUUUUUUGGUAUCCACGGAUUGCUUUUUUUUUCUUGUCAGUUGUUCCUAAUGUCUCCUGGAUGCUAUUCCCACCUUUCUUUAGAUAUAAAUACUCAGUGGCUGUUUUUCCUCGGGCAACAUCAGCCCUGCCUUCUUGUCCCAGCUAAAAUCCCGGCCUUAGUCAUCACUGACCCGAGAAGAUCCUGCCCAUAAUGUGCUGAUUCCUCUUGAUCAAACUUUCUGAGACUCUCCAGCAGAUUAAGUUUUCAUCGCUAAGAUUGUUCAUCUAAACCGUGAAAUUAGAAAAUUCUGUGCUGCUGAAAGCACAGGUCUCUGCGAAACAUCACUUCCCAGAGARCAGAUCGUGUGAGGGAAGCUCUGUGACUUCAAAGGUCAGAUUUAUUUUCUUUUGUGGCCUCAGCCUUAGCUCCAGAUGUCAUUUCUCAUGCGGAUGCUGUUCUAUAAAUAAGGUUUUGGCUGAAGGAGUUGUAGCAUCUCAUUUAUUACGUCCACGUGGAGGUAUUACAGAGCCUUGUGGAGUAUUGGAGAAAGCCAGAAGCUUUUUUGUGUUGUGUUGUAAAAAAUUGUGCCCACAUUUUGGCAACUACAUGUUUGCAUAGAAUGGAAAUUUUUUUUUAUAAUAGUUAAUUUUGUGACUCCAUUUCUAGCUUUUGGUUGCUGAUUAGCUGUGGAGGCUUUAGCUGGGAAAUGCUUACUGUUUUGUACUGUCUGYAUCUCAGAAAACUGGAGAAUUAGGAAAUAAUUUUAAGCUUUUUUAGACUGAGCAGCUCCUGUAACGCAAUCUUUAAACGUCAAGGUUUAAUAUCGACUUGGACCUUUUCCCUUUGGUGCACAYCUCUAGUUUUUGAGCCUUACUGUAGUGCAUUUUUCAAAUGAUGUGGAUAGUAAAAUAGACAUAAUUGAUCACAUCAUAAAAUCAGCUAUAAAAUGCACGCUGAUACUCGUGUUGUUCUGAUGUAUGAGGUGCCUCAUAGCUGCGAGGGAGCCUUGCAUGGCUCCKUUAUGCAGAAGAUGGGAUCUUAUUGUUGUAUUUCAUUUUAUAUACAUUUUUUAUCUCCAAACUAUCCUUUUGUGUUGCUGGGAAGGGCUUAAUAAGAUUUUCUGAUCUCUUGCAUUUUUCGCUAGGCAAGUUGCACUCAGCCUUCUUCCCAAAUUUGAUCUAAGCAGAUUCUUCAAGAUUGCCAUCAGUCACCCAAAAGAAACUCCGAAACCUUUGCAGACUU